rnacentral:rRNA from 1 species
CUGAAGGCAUCUAAGCGUGAAGCCCCCCUCAAGAUGAGAUAUCCCAAGACCCCUUGAAGACGACGAGGUAGAUAGGGCAGGGGUGGAAGUGCAGUAAUGUACGGAGCUGACUGCUACUAAUCGGUCGCAAGCUUAUCCAU